CUUGCUUCUCUUGAGAGCGGCGGACGGGUGAGUAAUGCCUAGGAAUCUGCCUGGUAGUGGGGGAUAACGUCCGGAAACGGACGCUAAUACCGCAUACGUCCUACGGGAGAAAGCAGGGGACCUUCGGGCCUUGCGCUAUCAGAUGAGCCUAGGUCGGAUUAGCUAGUUGGUGGGGUAAUGGCUCACCAAGGCGACGAUCCGUAACUGGUCUGAGAGGAUGAUCAGUCACACUGGAACUGAGACACGGUCCAGACUCCUACGGGAGGCAGCAGUGGGGAAUAUUGGACAAUGGGCGAAAGCCUGAUCCAGCCAUGCCGCGUGUGUGAAGAAGGUCUUCGGAUUGUAAAGCACUUUAAGUUGGGAGGAAGGGCAGUAAAUUAAUACUUUGCUGUUUUGACGUUACCGACAGAAUAAGCACCGGCUAACUCUGUGCCAGCAGCCGCGGUAAUACAGAGGGUGCAAGCGUUAAUCGGAAUUACUGGGCGUAAAGCGCGCGUAGGUGGUUCGUUAAGUUGGAUGUGAAAUCCCCGGGCUCAACCUGGGAACUGCAUUCAAAACUGACGAGCUAGAGUAUGGUAGAGGGUGGUGGAAUUUCCUGUGUAGCGGUGAAAUGCGUAGAUAUAGGAAGGAACACCAGUGGCGAAAGCGACCACCUGGACUGAUACUGACACUGAGUGCGAAAGCGUGGGGAGCAAACAGAUUAGAUACCCUGGUAGUCCACGCCGUAAACGAUGUCAACUAGCCGUUGGGAGCCUUGAGCUCUU
rnacentral:rRNA from 1 species